AAUUCUUUGGCAGAAAAAUUGCAUAGAGCUUAGAACUCUAAUAUAAGUUAAUACUUAAGAAUUA
rnacentral:tRNA from 1 species